ensembl:lncRNA TMEM51-AS1 TMEM51 antisense RNA 1
AAAAUAGGCUGCAAUCAAGUUCACUUCCAAAGGCGGAAUUCAUGGGUACAUAUGGUGUCCACGUGUGUACACCUGCAGAGUUGUAACAUGCGGGCAUUUCUCCCCUCAGCCCGCCAUUCUGGCUUCUUAACUUGCACCCUAACAGCUCGACAGAACCUUGGCGUCCACAAAAAGGACUUGAGGUGGGACAUGGAAGAACAGGGACCCCUCCUGGUUUGUCCACCCAGCCCACACCUCCAUUCCUCACCCAACCUACCACUUCAGAGCCGGGAAAAGACCUCAGAGAACAUCCGCUCCGACUCUACCGAGGCUCAGACAGGACAACAAGAGUGUGCUGGACACUGGGAAAUGUGGUCCAGGAGCAGUCACAGUCCCUAUAGACCUCCCACAAAUUACCGUAAUGCAAAGCAGUGAACACUUGGGAGAGCUCCUUCACUCACCGACUCUCAUCAGGAAAAUAGUGAUAGCAUGAACCCCUCCAGAUGGUUUUAGGAUUAAAAGAGAUACUUGUGCAAAGCCUCAGCAUACGAGUGCUCAGCCCCUGCCGACAUGAGCAAUGGGCAGCGCGUCCAGCUGGGUUCCUGCCCCAUGAGAAGCACACAGCCUGGUUUGGUAGGUGGGGCUCCAUCAGGGCUGUUUGGAUACCUGGGUGGAGCCCACAGACCAGCCCCCACCUUGUGUGGUUAGGGCUUUGCUAGGAAGGCCCAUCUGUGCGCCAUGACCUUGGAACUCGAUGUGAGAUCCCUGGACCGGCAGCAGCACCUGGAAGCUUGUUGGAAAUGCUGAUCUCAGGUGGGACUCCAGAAUUCCCGCAUCUGCACCUGCACUCCCAAAAUACCUCCCCACCAGGUGAUCCGAGGCCAUGGGGCGGUCUGAAGGGCACUGUGCUGGGGCGUCCCACCACUAGAAAUCCAGUCCGGUAAUCUGAAGAUGUAAGUGCCCCCAGGAGGAGUGACGGAGUGACACAAAUGACACAAGGGGAGGGGACUUGUCAGGUGUCCACUCCUGACUGCAAGUUCCCAGGGCAGAAGGCAAUGCCCCCACAGGGACUUUUCCAGACACUCCGAGUGCACCUGAAUUGCAUUUUGAGUGAUGCUGCCUGCUAAGCAGGAAGAGCCCUCCGGAGCCUCGAAAAGCAGAGUGGAAGUGGUGGUGCCCAGGACGCAUGGGCUCUGAUGGGAAGAGGGAGGUGGGCCUGAGCAUGGGCCUUCUUCUCCCCAGGUCAGAGGGGCCUGGAUGCCCCUGGAGGGAACACUGAGGUCACCUCUGGCCAAAUCUUCCUGUUCUGCCAGUACCCAGCCCUGUUCAGUGACGUCAAGCUUUUGGGUCCCUGUCCUGGGGCCCUCCACGCUGGCCGGGCUGUGUAGAGACGCCCUUCUCUCCACUUUAUUGGGUCCAGAUUGUUGUGUGGCUUCUCCCCUCCUCUGCAGCCUGGGGUCUGAAAACAGCGAUGCCAACAGACAGACAGAUUUCCAAAAGAAAGGUCCGGCUCAGCCAAGGACAAAGGGGCCUCGCAGAGGCUCCUGGGGGUCAGAAAGCUGAGAGUCUACCAGGCAGGUGCCUUCUCCACCCACAGGCACAAGCUACAACAGCUUUCCAAGAAGUGCAUCCACAUCGUCCCCAGGUCCAGAUGCCCACAUUGCCCUGCAGGGACCAAGACCACACUCGGGCUGCUUGGACAGGAUGUAGCUGGUCACUGUUCUGGAGCUGGCCCCUCUGUAGCCUGUGACAAUCAGCUUGAGUCUCUCUGCCAAGUCUCCGCCUUCUGUUCUUCUUGCCGACCUUGAAGCAGAGUUGACGUUUCAGGUUUUUCCAGCAGACAAAGCUCACUCAAUCUGAUACUGUGGAGGUUGUUAAUUUAACAACCAACCCAUCCUCAUGUUGAGAAACCAGCUCCAAAUGCUCACCUGGCUGUCAGGGAUGGGGAGCCUCAUGGGUGAAAGAGGGUUGUGAUGGCAUAAUUUAAACCAAAAGAGGCAUUCGCGGUUGCCCGUGUUGCCUCAGGCCUGCUGGCCUCCUGCUGUGAACAUUUUGGGCAAUACUGUCUCUGCCAGUGACCCCCAAUUGUCCACUUGUCUCCAGCAAGAUCGAACCAUGUAAGUGCCAUUUCUGACAAGUUGGGUGAACGUUGGUUUCAAAUCAUCAGCUCUGCAUUCAAGUGCCCUGCUACAAUUCUGGCUCACUCUGUGGGAAUAACUGCCUGCCUGGGCACGUUGCUGUUGCUGCCUCCCAAACGGCAGUUUCUGGGGUCCCAGGUCAUCCAGGCUGGAUGUGGCUUGGGAGAGACCUGUGGCACCAGGUUGGAGGGAGGUCUCACCUCUCCUUUCUGAGCUGUGGACUGCAGCUUCAGGACCCUAUGGAUGAGGCCGAAUGUCAUGAAGAUAAUGGAAUUUGGAGUCUCAACAAAGCCAAGCCACAUGCCAGAGAUUCACCACCUGGGGCCCAGGAUCAGAAGUGUGCCCUUAGGAGGCCAAACAUCCACCUGUCUACCAACUAGACAUUUGGUCUCAGACAGCAAGAAAGGCUGCGUUUAUGUCAUUAGGGGGAACACCACGGUCUUCGGCAUGAGAGAGGUGUAAUUCUCAAGUUCAUCAGAGCUCGGCUUCCCCCAUGAGAGGAAACAAUUUGCCAGGUUGAAGAACACACGCUUUGAGGGUUCUCAGAGGCUGACACCUGUUGUGAAUCUUGGAAACUCAAGCCCCAGUGCAAACGGCCUUGAAGGAGGUCGAGCAUCAUGGUUCCAACAAGUGACUCGCUUUGAUAACCCGAUGUGUAAGCAGAAUCGCAAUGCAUCCGUCCUUCCCUAAUCAUCACGUGGCUGUCAUCUGGUCAAUGAACUGAGGCCCGAAGGCUUGAGUCAAACUGGUUUUCAAGGCUGUGCUCAUGGGAUUUAUAUGUUUCUUGAGCCCUGUUGGAGGCUCUUGGCAGGUCUGAACAUUAAACAUUUCUUUUCUUCCUUUUGCACACUGCUUCAACCUAAAGAGUUGGAGCGAACUAGCUCUAUAUCAUUUCUGUGUUGUAAAUGGGAAAUUAGCUACCCCAUAACUUCCCAUUGUCUCCUGAGAGGUUACAAAUUGUGUUACAGAUAUUAGCAAGUGUUAAUCCUCACGAUGUCCCUGGGAGGGAACCAGAAGUAUCGUAGAUGAAGACAUCGAGGCACAGAGAGGUGAGGCCACUGGGAAGAAGCCACACAGCAUAACAGUGGCAGGUCAAGAAAAGGGCUGGGGUUCUCCCCACCAAUACCAAAUGAUUUUGCUCUGUGGAGUUUGUGUCUCGGUUAGGACAUUGGUGAGCUAUGUCACCUAUGUUUCAGGUGACAGGGACAUCACAACAAAGGUUUGUUGGGUUAACAAUGUCAAGCAUUUCCCUGCCCCAGACCCCAAACUCAUUGCCACACUCCAUACCACUGUCACGGAGUGCAGAUAGUGGGGUUUGGAAUCUCAGUAAAGCCAAACCACAGGCCAGAGAUUCACCAUAUGGGGCCGUCGGUCAUCCCCGAUCCUGUUGUCCCAAUAGCUUUCAUUCUGGUGAUAGGAUAUCUGCAUCUCCUAGAAAUGUGGCUGCUAAGCCCCACUCCUGCACGGAUCAUUCACCGGCUCCCCACUCAGCGUAGCCACUCCUGGGUGGAUCGGCAAACAGCUCUUCAAUACGUCCACCCCCAUGUGUCACAGAGCUUUUCAGGUGGAAGGAUUUUGCAUUCUCCCAAGAGAGAUUCAGUGAGCCAAGUCAGGACCCAAGUUCUCAGUCAAGGGUAAGAUGCUGUAGCCGAGAGUUCCCCAACCCCCGCCCUGUCCGACGUCUCGGCAAGAGGCAGCACUUCCUGCACCCGGCUCUGCCAAUGCACUGGGCGCUGGGGUGUGGGGUUGGGGUCCCCCCUGCUCCCGCCGGAAGGGUGUUUUAGGGAACUGUGGGCCUCCUCCCACCUUGGCAGCUCCGUUUAAGGCUCCAGGGACUGCUUGGCUGCUCCACAGUGACGGUCACUCUGAGGUGGAGCCUGUGUAUCCUGGAUGGAGGCAGGGCCGGACACUGUGACAGGUCCUCUGGGCCCAUCUCCAGCUGAACAGGAAAGUCCAUGGCCCACCCAAGACAGGUGGGCUGGUGUCUUCUCUCUCCUGGGCGCUGUGGAGCUGAAACCGCAGAGUCCAUCGGGAUUUUGCCCAGGAGCAAGGGACAUCCUCAGCCUGCGGCCGCUAUGUACAGUGAGAACGACACCUGGGGCCAUCUGGCUUCUCUUCCUUCCUGGGUCUCUCACGUUGGGUCUGGUGGAGCCACCAGUUCCUUACACGUUGGUGACCUCCAGGCUGUUGUAGCCUUCCAGACGGCACUGUUCCAGCCUGCUCUGGGGGUCAUCGUCUCCGCAAUCUUCGUUUUGAAGAGAGCCAUAGUCAUCAUGGAAAUCGGGAUCUUUGCUGCUGAAGCCCCUUCCUAUCUUCCCCAGGGGCAGCUGAGAAGAGAAGAAUAUGAUCAAAGGACAGGAAGAAGAGAAACAAGAAUUAAGAAUGAAGGUCUGGGAAAUGUCUCCAAUUCUAAUUGCUCUGUGAUUGAGUAACUUACUUAACCUCUGUGUGCUCCUCCUAUUAGUAAUAAUACUCCCUGCUCAGGGAGGUUGAGGGGAGUUUGUGAAUGACCAUUAGGGGAGAGCUUUGUGUCCCCCUGCCCCCGGAAGGAUUCAGUUGGUUACCAAGGGUGAGGACAAAUAUCGUUAGUCUGAUUAUUCCUGAUUCACAAAAGCCUCCUUCUUCCCUCCUUGGUGGGUGGAGAGUUGAGGAAGUGUGUCCUGGAGACUACCUGUGAGAAUGUCUGAGCAGGCCCAUGAGGUCUGACUGCACUCCCAAGUCAAGGAGGAAUAUUCUAGACGGCCUGGUGUGGCAGAAAGAAUGCGAGUUUUGGAGACUCACAGACCCAGGUUCAGAUCCCUGCUCUGCCACUUCCCAGCUGUGUGACCUUGGACAAGUCACUUCCCCUCUCUGAGCCCAUUUUUCUCAGCUACAAAAUGGGAAUAGUAGUUUCUAACUCCCAGGUUUGUUGUAAAAAGUAAAGUCCCACCAGUCUGGCCAACAUGGUGAAACCCCGCCUCUCCUAAAAAUACAAAAAUUAGCCGGGCGUGGUGGCGAGCUCCUGUAGUCCCUGCUACUCAGGAGGCCGAGGCAUGAGAAUCACUUGAACCCAGGAAUCAGAGGUUGCAGUGAGCUGAGAUCGUGCAACUGCACUCCAGCCUGACAGAGACCCUGUCUCAAAAAAAAAAAAGUCAAGUCCCAUCUGCAAAGCACAUAGCAAGUGCUUGCACCGAGUAAGUCCUUGAUGUACUUGAUGAAUAGUGACUAUUAUUAUCACACAUAGUAGGCCUUCAAAAAUACUUCUCUCUUACUGCACACAUCUCUGUGUUAAAGUAGUCACAUUAGUGCUUUGUAACUAUUUAUUUGACUGCCUUUCUUUCCAGACCAGUGUUUCCAGAUCUUCUUUUUUUAUUAUUAUUAUUGCUCCCUAAGGAGACUUUUUAGACAGUUUUUUCCUAAUUGCACCCCUGCUGUGAAAUUGUAAUGCCACAGACAUACUACGCCUCUGCUUCCGUACCAUAUGUACAUUUGUGCUUUUACAUAGAAAGAAUAAGAAUUUUUGCCACCGCCCCCACCCCCCACCAGCGCCAAAACAAAUUUUCACUCCUUUGGGGGGCAAUAUCAGCCCCAAUUACUAGAAUGCACGUUCUAGAAUGGAGCUUCUUAAGGGUAAAGUGGCAAUGUAUUCAUGUUUAUGAAUGAAUGGGGAUCAUGCCUUCUUCAAAUGGAAGACAUUUUGGAUUACCCAGUUCUGCCGUCUCUGUCUGUGCAUUUCCAUUGAGGAAUCUGUGUCAGUUGGAGUCUGUGCAAUCAGACCUGAACUGCACAUGUUUUCAUACUGUUUGGUUGGAGUCACCAGAGGGUUCAUCUUUGCUAUUGGUCAGGUCACUGAAGUCGCAAAUUGAAAUCAGUGAUUGGGGCUCAGAGUUUGGGGCUGCGCCGGAACCCUCUGGGCAGCCUAGCUGAAUGCAGGAUCCCCCUCGCCCCAGAGAACUCCUUUUCCAGGAGACCAAGGUGGGUCCCAGAAUCUGCAAGUUCAGUAAUAGCCCCAGGUGAUUCUCAUGCAGGCAGGUGAGACCUGCACUUUGAGAUCCAGGUGCUACUCGAAGCCCUGCGGGGGCUUUGUGCACUGUACCCAAAGCAUCGUGAAGGUUCCUUGAAGGUACAUCCAGGGCAUCUGUCCUGGAUGCCCCCGUGACCCGGCCUGGCACUCCACCUUCACAGGCCAGCACAGGAGCCACAGAGCUCCCGGGAGGAGAAAAAAAGACCUUUCCCGGGUCUGCAGGACUCACAGGUAAAUCCAUUGAGAGACUUACCCGGCCAGCCUUGUACUUGAGACCGCUGCUGUUCUCCUCCUUUCCUGCCCGCGUGACGCUGGAGGCCCUGCCAGGGGGCGUUCCAAAACGCUCAGCCUCCCGGAUGCCUGUGGAGCUGAAGAGAGGACCAUUUUGAGUCAGCAGGGGAGGCUCAGUCAGCUCCCCAGACACACACACACACACACACACACACACACACACACACACACACAUUGGUGACAAUGACCACAGCUGCUGAGACCGACUGAUUACCUCCCACGUGCCAUCCUUGUGCUCAGCACUUUAUAAGCGUGAUUCUCACAACAUGCCUGGGGCUUGGGACUGCCAGCCCAGCAUUACAGGGAAAGGAGGCCAGAGACAGCAAGCAAUUUGCCCAAGACGACACAGCUGUUAGCGGCAGAAUCAAGAUCUGAACUCAGGCUUCUGACACUCCAAAGUCUUGAUCUUAACUCUUCAGUGUACUGUGAACCUUACUGCAACAGACUCCAGAUGAGAAUCUCAGCAUGGUAGCUAAUUAGUUGUGCUUGGAGAAGCAUGAGGAGUCUCCCCUGCUCUGAAUUUGCAAUCUGUGUCCCCCACCUGGCUUUCUGCCUGAAGCUGCCCCCAUGACUCCCUUCUUUGUGCAAAAGCAUGGAAGCUUCUGUUAGGAUUUGGCCAACUACAGCCUGCCUGCAGGUCAAAUCCAGCUGGCCGACUGAUUUUAUAAAUAAAGUUUUAUUGGAACUCA